rnacentral:rRNA from 1 species
AUUGAACGCUGGCGGCAUGCCUUACACAUGCAAGUCGAACGGCAGCACGGGGGCAACCCUGGUGGCGAGUGGCGAACGGGUGAGUAAUACAUCGGAACGUGUCCCGUCGUGGGGGAUAACCAGUCGAAAGACUGGCUAAUACCGCAUGAGAUCGAGAGAUGAAAGCGGGGGACCGCAAGGCCUCGCGCGAUGGGAGCGGCCGAUGCCGGAUUAGCUAGUUGGCGGGGUAAAAGCCCACCAAGGCGACGAUCCGUAGCUGGUUUGAGAGAGCGACCAGCCACACUGGGACUGAGACACGGCCCAGACUCCUACGGGAGGCAGCAGUGGGGAAUUUUGGACAAUGGGCGCAAGCCUGAUCCAGCCAUGCCGCGUGUGUGAAGAAGGCCUUCGGGUUGUAAAGCACUUUCGGGCGGAACGAAAUCGCGCGGGCGAAUACCCCGCGUGGAUGACGGUACCGUAAGAAGAAGCACCGGCUAACUACGUGCCAGCCGCCGCGGUAA